rnacentral:rRNA from 1 species
CAGCCGCCGCGGUAAUACGGAGGACGCGAGCGUUACCCGGAUUUACUGGGCGUAAAGGGCGUGUAGGCGGCCUGGGGCGUCCCAUGUGAAAGGCCACGGCUCAACCGUGGAGGAGCGUGGGAUACGCUCAGGCUAGAGGGUGGGAGAGGGUGGUGGAAUUCCCGGAGUAGCGGUGAAAUGCGCAGAUACCGGGAGGAACGCCGAUGGCGAAGGCAGCCACCUGGUCCACUUCUGACGCUGAGGCGCGAAAGCGUGGGGAGCAAACCGGAUUAGAUACCCGAGUAGUCCCUGUCUCUUAUAC